rnacentral:rRNA from 1 species
UACGGAGGGUGCAAUCGUUAUCCGGAUUCACUGGGUUUAAAGGGUGCGUAGGUGGGUUGGUAAGUCAGUGGUGAAAUCCCCGAGCUUAACUUGGGAACUGCCAUUGAUACUAUCAGUCUUGAAUAUUGUGGAGGUUAGCGGAAUAUGUCAUGUAGCGGUGAAAUGCUUAGAUAUGACAUAGAACACCAAUUGCGAAGGCAGCUGGCUACGCAUAUAUUGACACUGAGGCACGAAAGCGUGGGGAUCAAACAGG